rnacentral:rRNA from 1 species
GGUAACAUUUCUAGCUUGCUAGAAGAUGACGAGUGGCGGACGGGUGAGUAAUGCUUGGGAACUUGCCUUUGCGAGGGGGAUAACAGUUGGAAACGACUGCUAAUACCGCAUAAUGUCUUCGGACCAAACGGGGCUUCGGCUCCGGCGCAAAGAGAGGCCCAAGUGAGAUUAGCUAGUUGGUAAGGUAACGGCUUACCAAGGCGACGAUCUCUAGCUGUUCUGAGAGGAAGAUCAGCCACACUGGGACUGAGACACGGCCCAGACUCCUACGGGAGGCAGCAGUGGGGAAUAUUGCACAAUGGGGGAAACCCUGAUGCAGCCAUGCCGCGUGUGUGAAGAAGGCCUUCGGGUUGUAAAGCACUUUCAGUUGUGAGGAAAAGUUAGUAGUUAAUACCUGCUAGCCGUGACGUUAACAACAGAAGAAGCACCGGCUAACUCCGUGCCAGCAGCCGCGGUAAUACGGAGGGUGCGAGCGUUAAUCGGAAUUACUGGGCGUAAAGCGCACGCAGGCGGUUUGUUAAGCUAGAUGUGAAAGCCCCGGGCUCAACCUGGGAUGGUCAUUUAGAACUGGCAGACUAGAGUCUUGGAGAGGGGAGUGGAAUUCCAGGUGUAGCGGUGAAAUGCGUAGAUAUCUGGAGGAACAUCAGUGGCGAAGGCGACUCCCUGGCCAAAGACUGACGCUCAUGUGCGAAAGUGUGGGUAGCG